GUGCUCACUUUGGCAGCACAUAUACUUAAAUUGGAAUGAUGCAAAGAAGAUUAGCAUGGCCCCUGCUCAAGGAUGACAUGCAAAUUGGUGAAGCAUUUCAUGUUUUU
rnacentral:snRNA from 1 species